AUCUGUCGAUGCAGAAGGCGGCGGCGCCGCCGUCGUCUGUGGAGGCAGUGCCGGUGGUGCAACAGGCGUCGACUGUGAUGAAGUGGAGGUGGAUGAUGGGUCUGAUGUUAUCAGAUCCAUUAGUGUCGUCCCCGAAUUAUCCUGCGAAGAUGAAAAUUUAGAGCACAUAACAAAAAUUGAGGUGAAUUUGUCAGUAUUUUUUUUCUUAUAUUUGAUGAAAUGAGGAAUCGAAGAUCAAUAAGAAACUUACGGCCAUGACUGGAGCGGAGAUACCAAAAUUAUGAACUGCAAAUUGUUGUUGAGAGAAAACUCUCUAAAUUCUUUCUUUCCUCCUCCUUGUAAAUUGUAAUGGACAUAAAUGAAUUACUCACUUAAAAAAAUAUUUUCUUCGAUCUUAUUAUUAGAGGAGAGAGAGACAAAUGGAGCUUCUACAUAGAUUUUGUAUAAAUAGCAAGUAUAUUUUAGUUUUACACAUUUCGGCCAUUAUUGACUUAAUAAAUUUGGCUUCUUUGGGGAAAUUAUUUUACUUCUAAAAAUUAUUGCUUGGCCAUACAAACACAAAUACAAUUUAAAGUUGUACUAUUAUUU
rnacentral:lncRNA from 1 species